CGAAAAGCAGACAAUGGAUGCCUGGAGGAUGCUAAAGCCGAAGAAGGACGUACUAGGCCACGAUAGUCGUCGGGGAGCUGCCAAGAAGCGCUGAUCCGGCGGUGUCCGAAUGGGGAAACCCACCCCGCAGAAACUGCGGGGGGUCCCGCAUCUUGUCUAGCCCACUGACUUUGGAAUUAUUCUUGCCGACCGCUGGUAUUUUAGCGGUGACGGAUUGAGAGCUUUCCGAGGUCGGAGGUUAGAAAAGGUGCGGGAGGGGCACGCCCUGAACUGAAACAUCUAAGUAGGGGCAGGAAAAUAAAUCAACGAGAUUCCGUAAGUAAGCGGAGAGCGAAAGCGGAAAAGCCUAAACCAUGUACAGUUACAUGUACGUGGUGUUGCGGGGCAGACGAUAUGGGAUUGGAUGAGGAGUAGUUGAAUCCUGUGGAAACAGGAGCCAAAGAGCGUGACAGCCGCGUAAGCGAAACUUCCGUCCACCUUAGUUUGUACCCAAGUACCAUGAAGAACAUACUUUGUGGGAAUCCGGGGUAACCACACUCCAAGGCUAAAUACUUUAGCAUACCGAUAGUGAACCAGUACCGUGAGGGAAAGGUGAAAAGAAGGGUUAAAAACCUAGUGAAAUAGAACCUGAAAUUGUCUGCUAUCAAGCAGUGAGAGCCCCUCCGCAAGGUCGGGGUGAUCGCGUGCCUAUUGAAGAAUGAUCCGGCGAGUUUUCGAUUGCUGCAAGUUUAACCCCGCUAAGCGGGGGGAGGCGUAGGGAAACCGAGUCUUAACAGGGCGAAAUACCAGCAGCAGUUGGAAGACCCGAAACCUGGUGAGCUAACCAUGAGCAGGGUGAGUCCCGCCGAAAGGCGGGAGGAGGCCCGAACCCGUCAGAGUUACAAAUCUGUGGGAUGACUUGUGGUUAGGGGUAAUAUGCCAAUCGAACCAGGAGAUAGCUGGCUCUCCCCGAAAUAUAUAUAGGUAUAGCCUCAAAGCCAACUGACAUGAGGUAGAGCACUGGAUGGGCCGGGCGGCGCAAGCCGUCCUGUUCAAUCAAACUCCGAAUUCGUGUCAGAGUACUUUGGGAGUCAGAACGACCCGGCUAAGCGGGCCGCUCAAAAGGGAAACAACCCAGACUGUCGUCUAAGGCCUCUAAAUGGAUGCUUAGUGUUGAACGCAGUCGAAUUCCUCAGACAGCCAGGAGGUUGGCUCAGAAGCAGCCAUCCUUUAAAGAAAGCGUAACAGCUCACUGGUCGAUUUGGGAGUUCGGCGCGGAAAAUGAACCGAGGCUGAAGCAUCCUGCCGAAGAUACAGAUUUCCCCGCAUUUUGCGGGGGAGUGGUAGGGGAGCGUUGAGGGAGCGGUGAAGGCCAGCCGUAAGGCGAACUGGAGCGACCUCAAGUGAGAAUGCCGGAAUGAGUAGCGUAAUCCCAGUGAGAAUCUGGGACGCCGAAUACCCAAGGUUUCCUCCGCGACAUUGUUUGACGGAGGGUGAGUCGGCACCUAAGGCGAGGCCGCAGAGGGCGUAGCCGAUGGACGAGACGUAAAUAUUCGUCUACAUGGAAAAUGUCGUUAUCAGCUAGGGAUGGACAAAGUGAGAGCAGCCAAACGCGUGCAGUGAAUGCGGCGUCUAAGCAGUAAGACAGUCGGUCCUGUAAAACGCGGACCGGUGUUUAAUCGAACUGUGACGGGAAGUUUGAAGAGAAAUCAACGAACAACUUGGUGCGCUUUUGUUUUCAAGAAAAGAUUCGUAGUGAGACAUUUUUUAUGCCGUACCGCAAACCGACACUGGUGGGUGGGUCGAGUAGACCAAGGCGAUCGGGAGAAGGUAGUUCAAGGAACUCGGCAAAAAAGCUGGACGUAAGUUUGCAAGAUGUCCUGCCCGCCGCAAGGCGGGCCGCAGCUAAAGCUUAUUCCUCGACUGUUUAACUAAAACACAGGUCUGUGCGAACUCGAAAGAGGCGGUAUACAGGCUGAUACCUGCCCAGUGCUCGUAAGUUAAGUGGAUGGGUGAUCCCGCAAGGGUUAGCCUUGAAAUGAAGCUCGAGUGAACGGCAGCAGUAACUAUGAGCCGAAAGGCCGUUGUAGUUGUAAAAGUCGACUAUAUGCUGGAACGUCUGAGUAUCUCACACUAGUAUUGACUUCGGUUUUUAUUCGGGGUUAAACUAACAAUGUGUUGAGUGCAGAUAAUCAGCAGGAAAGGCUAGAGACAGGACAAUUCUUGGCAGGGUUUGCAGAAGGAGAAGGAAGUUUUAAUAUUUCCUUGCGCCGGAAAACAGAUUACAAGGUAAAUUGGCAGGUGGUGAUGAGUUUCAAUAUAUCUCAACGCGACCCCACUUUAUUGAAUUUGUUUCAGCAAAUUCUGAGAUGCGGGAUUAUAAAAAAAAGGUUUGAUGGGGUUUAUUCACUUGAUGUGACCACUCCUUUGGACAUUGUUAGUAAAGUAAUUCCGUUUUUCCAAGAGUUUCCUCUUCGUUCUGAAAGUAAGCAACGCAACUUUAAUUUAUUUGUUAAAGCGGCAAGCUUAAUGAAGAGCGGGGAGCAUAAAAACCCAGAAGGUUUGUUUAAAAUUUUAAAGAUUCGAGAGCAAAUAAACCUGGGUAAAGGGAGGACUAGAAAAUAUUCAAUUUUUGAUGUUUUUCCUAAGCAAUCUUUAGAAUCCUCAGAGACUAUACGUCGACCCCCGCCAAGGCGGGGAUGAUAUAGUCCGAUCUCAUAGGCGACUAUGAGACUCCGUAAUCAACCGGAGCAUUGUAACAACAUGAACUGUUCUAUGGUAGCGAAGUUCCUUGUCGGGUAAGUUCCGACCCGCACGAAAGGUUUAACGAGGGAAUAACUGUCUUGAACUAUCACCCGGCGAAAUUGAAAUGGCUGUGAAGAUGCGGCCUAACUCUACUAGGACAAAAAGACCCUAUGGAGCUUUACUGUAUCCAGGCCCUGUUUUGGGCUUUGGGAUUGUUUAGAGUAGGAGGGACCACGUUCAGUUAAAUGAACGUGGAAAAGUGAAACACCUCUCGUUUUGAAGUCACAAAACUAACCCACAUGUGCUGGAAUCGCACAUGGAGACAAGGUCUGGUUGGCAGUUUUACUGGGGAGGUAUCCUGCUAAAAGGUAACGCAGGAGUACAAAGGUGCACUAGGCUCGGAUGGAAAUCGAGCGAGUCGUGUAACGGCAUAAGUGCGCUUGACUGUGAGAGCGGCAGCUCGAGCAGGUGCGAAAGCAGGUCGUAGUGAUCCUCGGAUCCCUCGUGGGAGGGACCGGGCUUAACGGAUAAAAGCUACCCUAGGGAUAACAGGCUGAUCGCCGCCAAGAGUCCAUAUCGACGCGGCGGUUUGGCACCUCGAUGUCGGCUCAUCCUAUCCUGGAGGGGCAGUACCUUCCAAGGGUCCGGCUGUUCGCCGGUUAAAAGGGUACGCGAGCUGGGUUCAGAACGUCGUGAGACAGUUGACCUGCCAUAACAUUCGGCAGGUGACACUGAGCUGUCUGUCAUUCCACGAUAAUUAUCUUUUUGUCUAUGAUAUUAAGAAUGACUCCCGCAAAUGAGCGGGAAUAAACCUGACUAUAUGCUGGAAACUCUUGUCAAUGUGUUUCUACUAGUAUACGAUUUGUGUACUAGUAAAAAUGAAACACCAUCUGGUGGAUACAGAGCAAGACAAUCAGCAGGAAAGACUAGUGAGUGACGACUAUUUACUCGGAUUUGUUGAAGGUGAAGGUUGCUUCUAUAUCGGAGUAGUCCGGAGCCGGGAAAUAAUAUCCCAUUGGCAAGUGAUUUAUUUUUUUAAAGUUUCACAAAACCCAACCGGAAAGCUGGUAUUGGAACAACUUAAAAAUAGAUUGGCUUGCGGGUACAUCAAAGCUAAUUCUUUAUCUGAUAAAUCCGAUAAAAGUUUGGCAUUUGUCGUUCGCGAUCUACCAAGUUUAACUAAAAAAGUAAUUCCUUUUUUCAAAGGAAAACUGCUUACGAAGAAGGCGGAAGAUUUUGAAAAGUUUUGUAGAGUGAUUGAUCUGGUAAUUUCCAGUAAUCAUCUGACAAAAAAGGGAAUUACAAAAAUAUUAGACAUUGCUUAUUCCAUGAAUACUGCGAAACGCAGGUAUUCCAAGCAAGAAAUAUUGGCGGGUUACAACUAGAAUCCCCACAGGCCAUACGUCAGGAUCGGCUUCAGGCCGAACAAGAUAUGGUCGAAUCCUUAUAGUGAUAUAAGGUAGAGAAUGUCGGUCUCUAUCCAGUAGAGUCGUGGAGUUCUUGAGGGGGUCCGACCUCAGUACGAGAGGACCAGGUUAGAGGUACCGCUGGUGUGCCGGUUGUGUCGUCAGAUGCAGCGCCGGGUAGCUAAGUGCCUACGGGAUAACCGCUGAAAGCAUCUAAGUGGGAAGCCCUACCCAAGAUUAGGAACUCAUCCCCGCCGCAAGGCGUGGUGUCAACCCGGGGAAGACAACCCCGUAUAAGAGGCUGGCAGUGUAAGCGCGGUAACGCGUUUAGCUUACCAGUACUAAUCGGUUGAUUG
rnacentral:rRNA from 1 species